rnacentral:rRNA from 1 species
GAUGAACGCUGGCGGCGUGCCUAAUACAUGCAAGUCGAGCGAACAGACGAGGAGCUUGCUCCUCUGACGUUAGCGGCGGACGGGUGAGUAACACGUGGAUAACCUACCUAUAAGACUGGGAUAACUUCGGGAAACCGGAGCUAAUACCGGAUAAUAUAUUGAACCGCAUGGUUCAAUAGUGAAAGACGGUUUUGCUGUCACUUAUAGAUGGAUCCGCGCCGCAUUAGCUAGUUGGUAAGGUAACGGCUUACCAAGGCAACGAUGCGUAGCCGACCUGAGAGGGUGGUCGGCCACACUGGAACUGAGACACGGUCCAGACUCCUACGGGAGGCAGCAGUAGGGAAUCUUCCGCAAUGGGCGAAAGCCUGACGGAGCAACGCCGCGUGAGUGAUGAAGGUCUUCGGAUCGUAAAACUCUGUUAUUAGGGAAGACCAAAUGUGUAAGUAACUAUGCACGUCUUGACGGUACCUAAUCAGAAGGCCACGGCUAACUACGUG